rnacentral:rRNA from 1 species
UACGUAGGGUGCAAGCGUUGUCCGGAAUCAUUGGGCGUAAAGAGCGUGUAGGCGGCUCGAUUAGUCCGCUGAAAAGCUCGAGGCACACCGUGGUGCCGGUGGAAACUGUCGGGCUAGAGUCCGGGAGAGGCGAGUGGAAUUCCUGGUGUAGCGGUGAAAUGCGCAGAUAUCAGGAGGAACACCAAUGGCGAAGGCAGCUCGCUGGAACGGUACUGACGCUGAGACGCGAAAGCGUGGGGAGCAAACAGG